CCAGCUUGCAGACCUGCUCACCAAGCCCCUUGGGAGGAUCAAGUUCCUUGAGCUCUGCUCCAGGACCGGGAUGGUCCAAUCCUCCCACAAGACGACGCACAAGACUUAGGGGGAGAAUGAUGGAUAAGUCUUUGUGCUGGAUGGAUAAGGCAUAGGGUCCUUGCAAGGACCAGAUCAUCUAUUCCUUUAGCAUAUUUCAGUUUGCUAGGACAGUCAGUUUGCUAGGACAGCAUCUAGCUUUAGUUCUUUUGACUAGCAUCUUAGCAUCUUUUGGCUGCCUGCCCUGGCUGACUAUAAGUAUGUAUCCCCAGCCCCUUGGGUUGGUAUGGCUGAGUUUGUGAAUAUGAGAAAAUCAGAAAAUUGCCCCAAGUUCAUUGUCAUCCUCUCAGCUCAAUGAGAGUUAGAAUUGAGCUCCUAACAGCACUUGUAUUCUUUCUUUCAAUGUUCCAUGUGGUUACGGUGGAUCUUGGUGGAAAGCAUAAUUACCCCUCGAAACACUAACCUUUCAUGAUUGCUAUUGGGAAAUAUCGCUGAUAAUCUUUUGCCGAUUAGUCGGCCUUAUCGUUCCUUUAACACCGAUAAGGAGUAACGACUAGGUCGGGCGACUACUAGAAUUCUAGUCAGUCCGAUUAGUCGUCGAUUAGUCGCGAUUAGUCGGCCGACUAGGCUGGGAAAACGAUCAAUUUGCGUAAAUGUAAUGGGCCACGUUCACUGGGCAGUUUGCGACUACUAGCUGGUAUUAGGCCCCCAUUAGGUUUUAGGAUAUAUGCACAGCACACCUUCUUUCCCCCAGCAGCCGUCGCCCAAAUCGCGAGCCAGAAACACGCCUCUUCUCCGCCAAAAGUUGUUGCUCGCCGCCCGCGAAGGCCUUCCCUCCGCUGGCUCCUCUGUUCUCAAGGCGUCGCUCUAGGCGGGGACGCCUAGGGCGUCCCAUGCGCCGUUCCACCGAGUUGCGCCUUUGCUCGCCUAGACGCCCGCCUGCUCGCCUAGGCGUCCAGCCGCCCCACCUUGCUAGGCGUCCGCCUUACCGCCUUGAGAACAGAGGCUGGCGCAUCAAGGAAGGAGGAGCGUGCAGCUGCCGUGGAAGCUGCUCCGGAGCUCCCAGCGACCCAACAUCUCUGUUUUGACGGUCCCCCAAGGGGUUCCCGCUGCCCGGGAGCUCGCCCCUGCCACCCAAGACGUCGCCGCCACCCAGGAGCUCCUCCUCCUCGCCACCGCCCAGGAGGUCGCCACAAAUCGGCAAGGUUAUGGAGUAUGGGAAUGGGAUAGGAACAUGGAGUUUGAAAGCUCACUCAUCAAAUCUCGCAAGUGAACAACUGACCAUCAUUGCGGUGUUCAUGCUUGAUAUAUACUAUGUAAUGUAUAGUAUACAUAUCAUAUCGUCCUGGUAUGAUAGGACGACUAUACAGACGACUAAUCGGCCUGAUCGACGACUAAUCUCGACUAAUCACCUUAUCGGUGCCAUGGCGACUAGGUUCGACUGGACGACUGUAAAACAUUGGUGCAGCUAUUGUUUUUAGUUUAUCCUUUAUGUGGUAUAAAAUGGCUUUUCUAAGUACAAAUAAAUUCUUUGUUCCCCUUCUGCAUGUGUAUUUCCUUUUAGAAACAUCUGGAAGAUUUUACCAUCUUGGACAUGGUUAGUCUGCAAACUUCUUUCCAUCAUUGCAUAUUUGGAGCUGCAUGUCGAUUUCUGCAGUUGCAUAUACUAUUACUGUUCCCAAAUACUCAUUCAAUUGGCCAUGAUGUAUAUAUGUGAUUUUGCCUUUCGUCUUCUUAUUGUUGGUUGGAUGAUAACAGAAUAUAUUCUUGUUUAAGUUAUAAUUGUGCAACCCGGUUUGUUUCUAGCAACAUGGGCAGACUAAAAUGGUUGUCUUAAUUCUAAGGUGAUUCUGAUAGUGGCCACAACUAUCAUAUUGUUGCUCUUUUUAUUGUUUGUUAUUUUGAAAAUAUUUCUCUUCAGUUAAGCCGGCCGUGAGUUCGAGGCCUAAUAUUCUUGACCAAAGUAUGUCAUCCUAAAAUGAUUUUAUUUAAGUAGUAAUAAACCACCAAUUUGCAUUCCACACGAGGAAAGGUGAACAUGAAGGACAAAAAGAGUCCAAUCAAUCCAUUGGUUUGGAUCAGGUUCUGCACCCACUGAAAGAUAACAUAGAAACAUAAGUCCUAAGUAACAUUUUGCAGAAAGUAUUUCGGUGUUCGUGACAAGUAAAGAACUCCUAGAAUGUGAUUGUACCUUGUUUUGACAUGUUAACCAGUUGAAAGCUCUUAGUGAUUUAAUCGAUGAUUCCAUGCUGAUUUUGACAUCCCCCAACGCCACCCCCCCCCCCACACACACCCACACCCACACCCACCCAAGUAGGUAGAAGUUGGUUGGUGCGAAAUGCUAGUUUUGCAUCUUGUAGUUUAUUUUGUACCCCAGUAACUCAGGAAGUGAAUGUAAUAUAUAAGAUUUACAUAUCUUGUAUAGCUGUUUCAGUUACAAAGUAUGACUAUUCAGGCGAAGAGAGUUCUAGUGUUAAGGGAUGCUACAUUUAAAUGUAUAGAUGGUUUAGCUGAUCUAGAAACUAGGUGCCAUACUUAUAGUUACCACAUUAGGUGUUAACCAGGUUUGUGAUGCAUUAAGCAUGUCAUGAAAAUGACUUGCCAGGGGUAAUCCUCUUCAUUAUGCGAGCAGGGGAUUUGGUUUGUGAACCUUGUAAUUUCGGAAUCCGUUUCACAAUAGUGUUUCAUGGUUAGUGAACCCUGUAGUUUUGGUUUACUAAAUCCAAUCUGUAACAGCAUGCUGUGAUCUGAGAAAAACCCAAGAUUUAGUGUGAAUAAUUUCAAAAUGCACUUAUUGCUAGUACCACUAGUCAACUAAGAGAGCAUGAUAACCUAUGUGUGACUUCAUGUCUUCAUGUCUUCAUUCUGGACUAAUGCGAAAGGCUGACAGUAAUGGAUCAUAGUAGGGUUCAUUAUUUGUUUCCUUUGCCUAUCCUGUGAGACCACCCAACAGAUUCAUGUUGUAGUUGGACCCCUCCUAUGAUGCUUUACCGAUGUAUCAGUUAUUCCCAACCACAUAAUCCCUCAUUGGCCUACACCAACUUGGAGGUGGGGUUGCUUAUCAAGUACCACGAAUGGAAUGAUUUUUGCAGGUCAUGCGUUUCCUUUAUUGUAGGUCAUUUUGCAACGGACAGCAAGUGGUGAGCCUGUUUCUUCCUGUAUAGGGUCAGUGGCCUACAACCACUGGAAGAAGGUAAGUGGCACAUCCUAUUCAUAGGCUACAGGAAAUGCUAUUUGACAUUUGUACAUCCUAUUCAUAGGUUAUGCUACUGUCACUGUGAAGAGAUUGUUACGGAAAGGUGUAGGUGUAGAACACCUUUUACAUUGGGAGCAUAUAUGAUGAUUCUCUUCCUGUCGUUUCACAAUUCACAGGUUAAUUGAUUGAGGAGCAUUAAAACUUCACAAACUUUUCUUCAUAUUCUAGCAUUUAAACUAACAGUAUGAGUGGAUCACAUUCAGUUACCAUGGGCUUCCAUAGAAUUCCUAUCUUUCAAGCAAGAGGAGAUGUUGCCCAAGAUUCUAACCUCCUUAUCUGUUGACUUUUCCCCCUUUUUAUGUUUUCCCCCUUUCUACAAAUUCGGAAGAGAAAUAUAUAUAUCUACAUGUAUAGCCUUCACCAGUAGAAUCAAUCUUCUCUUUAUUUCUUCAAAUUUUAUGCAGACAAAUUAAUCUGCAGACACUAUCGUGUCCAUGUCCUGUCCUGUUCCCACAUGUUUUUCUUUUUCUUUUCUCUUCUUGGAUGUGGGUAUCCUUUGGCUGCUAGCUAUGUUGCUAUUGGUAUAGUUUGCCAUCAUAUUAUACAGUAUCUUUGUUAUAUGGUGGGAAGCAUGUUUCAUAUGAUUAGCAAUAGCACGCAUAUGUCAGCUACUAUCUGUACCGCAUGGCCCCUUGCAGUUAUUCAGCUCAAGGAUUUUGUGAUUUUGUCCCUCCUCAAAGUGCUCACAUGUAUUGACAACGACUCUUCUUGUAAGUUAUCGUGCUGAUCUUGUUUCUUUUUCAUUCAUACUUAAGUAAUACACCAGUCGGGUUUUUUUCGUCAUUUGGGUCAUGGAUUUGUUUUCGUAUACUAUCCCUCGUGCUCUGUGUGCCCAAAUAUCAUUGCGUGCUGAAGUGCUGAUCGAGCUGCUGUGGUUCAAUUAUUUUCUUUUAUUUUAUUUUACUGGCGGCUCGGUUCCGUCUUUUUCAUCGCUAUAUUUCUGUGAAUAAAGUUGCAUUUGUUCCGAAGAAUAUAAUAUAUUCGCGAUGCGAGAGGAGCCUCAUCUUUUUUGCCUUUUGAUGAUAGUCCUGGAUUCUCUCCAGUUAGGUCUAUCGGGAUAAUCAUGAAUCUGAAUAGAUAAUAGUGACUGAGGUAACCUUGAGAAGUUCCUCUUUUUUUCCCCGUUCACUGGAGAUUGAAAGAAUUCCUAAAAGAAAAGGUCCUUUGUUGAAACUUUUCCCCAGAGUAUUCAGGUCAGAGUUUGAUCUAUGCAAAUGUUUGUGCAGCUGUGAAUCUAGAGCAAUGUGGAAUUAAGCCGUGUCAGUUCUUGAACCGGACCGGAGAAAUUGACCGGAAUGUAUGUUGAAUUGAUCUGAUGAUACUUUAGUACAUGAUACUAGUACAGUAUGGUUUAUCAAGAGGAUAGUUAGCAGGCUAGCUUCUGUUUGUCACACCAGAUGUCAAAUUUCUCCUUUUCUUUUUUGAAAAGUUACACCAGAUGUCAUAUUUCUCGUUCUGCUACAAUCCCUUGUCCUGGACGUUUCGGCCUUCUUGUUUUAUGCCGAAAAUUUCUAAAAAGGCGUUUGUCUUUUUCCUCAAGAAAAAGAAAGGAAGAAAAAGGAAAGAGUUACGGGCA